rnacentral:lncRNA from 1 species
AAAAUUUGACCAAGAUAUUUUAAAUAAAGUUUAUCCAAUUAGGCUUUAUAAAAAAAACAAAAGGCAAAACAAGCAAAGCCAUCAAAUCCCAUACAUAGCUGGGAGAGAGGGCAAAGGGCUGGAGAUGCAAAGGAGGGGAGAAAGAGAGGAAGAGAAGGGAAACCAUGCUAGGAGGAAGAAGAAAAAGAAAUGAUGAAGGUAUACAUCUAAAACCCUAAGCUAAAUUCUUUAAUAUUCAUGCAUGGAUGUAAGUUUUUAUGGAGUUUAUGAAAGGAAAUCAUAUUUAAGCUUUUUAGUGAUGGUUUAACUUUGUGGUAAUAAUAAUCAAACAAGAGAAAUCAAGAAAUCAAACAAGUAGAAAAAAUCUAAAAUCUGGAAAAAUUUCCAAAAAAGUUAGUAAGUUGUUCUGCUUUUGUAAAAGCUAUAACUCAUAUAUAAUGAGUUAAUCUAAUGAAAGCUCUGGAAGUUAGCUAACCACAGAACAGGAAUCACUUAAAAAUUCCUUAUAGAUUGUUCCACGUAAAUGUUUGAAACAGACUAGUCAGAGUUGAAAAAUCAUUGUGCUGCAACUGAAAAACAGAUUAUGUUCAGGUUGUUGUAAAAAUUAUACAGGCUUGUGUUCGGAAUUUGAACAUGGCAUAAAAAGAAAAGUUGUAAGUAUGGAAGUUACCUACACAUAGUAAAAAGAAUGAAGUUAAAAUUCAUUGUAAAUUGUGUAUUAUGAAUUAUUUAGUAAGGUUGGUUAGAAUUUGUAACAUUUGGCCUAGUUUCUAAAGAUUGAAUUAUGGAAUGUUUGAAGAAGCAAGAAUCUGGGCCUAUAUGCUAUGAAAUUUGAUUGUAUAAGGUUUAAGUUGACUCAAGAAUUAAACGAACGUGUAACGAAGGAGUAAUGAUUAAAAUAACAUUAGGGUUUUGGUUAAAGUUAAAAACAGUUAUAGCUUGAAUUAUACAAUUAAGAUGAAAUUUUGAGUAAUAGUAUUUUGUGACGAAUAAUAUUGUAUUUUGACGUAACGAGGAUGUCCAAGAAUUUAGGACUUACUACUGAAUUAUGGAAAUUAUUAAAAAAAGUUCACAAUAAUAUUAAGAUAUGAUUCAGAAAGUAACCGAUGAAAGUUAAAUUAUUAUGUUAAUAUUUCAUAAAAUUACAGGUGACUCAGAAUCGAGUACGGGGGAAAUAAAUAUUGGAUGUAGAUGAAGAAUGACAGAAUAAGUCGGGCAAGUGAGGCAAGUUCCCUUAUAGCAAAUUUUGCAAAUUAUGCAAGUCCUUUAUGUUAAACACGUUCUUUAUUUGAGUUAUUUCUUUAAUUUGUUGUAAUUCUUUAAUUUAUGUGAAUUCCUAUGAUUGAGCUAAGAUUAUAGUCUUCAGAUAUCUGAGAGUUCUUGAACUCAUAUUAUUAUUGUAGGUUUUUGAACUACUACUAUUAGUAUGGUAGGUUCUUGAACCCAUAAUAUUAUGGUAAGUACCAAAUUCUUGAAUUUAUAUUAUUAUGGCAAGUUCUUGAACUAAUAUUAUUAGGAAAAGUUCUUGAACUCAUAAUUUAUGGCAAGUUCUAUGAACGGUGCAAUAUUUCUAAAUUUGCAAGCUUCUAAAUUAAUUAAGACCGAGGAUGAACAACCCUAUAUUAUAAGGGAAUUUUUAUGGAGAGUUUUUCAGUCUGUAUGGGUGUUAAACAUUUAUGGGUUAUAGUGCCAACUUAACACUUUUAGCGUAUGAAUGAUGUUAUGUAAAAUUUUGCAGUCUGUGUGACUGUAAAAUUUGAUGUAAAGAUUUCGUGGUCCUAACGAUCCCUCAGU